UACGAAGGGGGCUAGCGUUGUUCGGAAUUACUGGGCGUAAAGGGCGCGUAGGCGGACAGUUAAGUCAGAGGUGAAAGCCCAGGGCUCAACCCUGGAAUUGCCUUUGAUACUGGCUGUCUUGAGUACGGGAGAGGUGAGUGGAACUCCGGGUGUAGAGGUGAAAUUCGUAGAUAUUCGGAAGAACACCAGUGGCGAAGGCGACUCGCUGGCCCGUUACUGACGCUGAGGCGCGAAAGCGUGGGGAUCGAACAGG
rnacentral:rRNA from 1 species